UACGAAGGGGGCUAGCGUUGCUCGGAAUUACUGGGCGUAAAGGGCGCGUAGGCGGUCAGCACAAGUCAGUUGUGAAAUCUCCGGGCUUAACUCGGAAAGGUCAACUGAUACUGUGCGACUAGAGUGCAGAAGGGGCAACUGGAAUUCUCGGUGUAGCGGUGAAAUGCGUAGAUAUCGAGAGGAACACCUGCGGCGAAGGCGGGUUGCUGGGCUGACACUGACGCUGAGGCGCGAAAGCCAGGGGAGCGAACGGG
rnacentral:rRNA from 1 species